AGGUGGGCUUUGAAUGUCAUCCAUAUUGUUCUGAUUAAAAAGUGUGUUUAACUUUAGAAAACUGGCAUCAAUCCAUGAUAUGAUGGUUUCAUAUUUGCAAUGAACUUGCUUUUUGAUUUGGGAAGGCUAGUUUUUGUUACCUUUUAUUGCAUAUGGCUCCUGGUUUACGGCAUUACGUUCUCCACAAAUUCUCAAUCGUAAAUUAUAAAAGUUGAGACAUGGGCAAAAUCGAAGUUGCGCUGAGAAGGAUAUCUAUAGAUAGAAGAAAGCAGCGGAGAAAUUUGACCAUUCGUUCGAGUGCCCAAGCACAACUCGUUAGGCAUUCUUAACGAUUUCAACAACUUUUUGUUUUAAAAACCAAUGGGGAAAGAUUUCCAUGCACGUUUUCUGCCUAGGGUAAUUUCAUAAGCGCAUUCAUUUACUUUUCUGCUAUUUCUCUGGAGUUAGCUUCGUCUUCAUGUUGCUGAGUUAAACAUACCUAAGCAGCUUAAAUUUAGUACCUGUACUCCGUUGGUUUUCUAACUCCAACGCAAUACCUAGUUCGAUAAAAUUU
rnacentral:misc_RNA from 1 species